rnacentral:rRNA from 1 species
GUGGGGAAUAUUGGACAAUGGGGGGAACCCUGAUCCAGCCAUGCCGCGUGUGUGAAGAAGGCCUUUUGGUUGUAAAGCACUUUAAGCGAGGAGGAGGCUACCGAGAUUAAUACUCUUGGAUAGUGGACGUUACUCGCAGAAUAAGCACCGGCUAACUCUGUGCCAGCAGCCGCGGUAAUACAGAGGGUGCAAGCGUUAAUCAGAUUUACUGGGCGUAAAGCGCGCGUAGGUGGCCAAUUAAGUCAAAUGUGAAAUCCCCGAGCUUAACUUGGGAAUUGCAUUCGAUACUGGUUGGCUAGAGUAUGGGAGAGGAUGGUAGAAUUCCAGGUGUAGCGGUGAAAUGCGUAGAGAUCUGGAGGAAUACCGAUGGCGAAGGCAGCCAUCUGGCCUAAUACUGACACUGAGGUGCGAAAGCAUGGGGAGCAAACAGGAUUAGAAACCCGGGUAGUCC